rnacentral:rRNA from 1 species
GAUGAACGCUGACAGAGUGCUUAACACAUGCAAGUCUUUGGCGAAGCUGUGCUUGCACAGCCUAGCCAAGGCGGACGGGUGAGUAACGCGUAAGGAACUUGCCCUGCAGUCAGGGAUAACAGACGGAAACGACUGAUAAGACCUGGUAAAGUCAGGCGGACUCAUGUCCAGCCUGAUGAAAAGAGAUGCUGCAGGAGAGCCUUGCGUCCUAUUAGCUUGUUGGUGGGGUAACGGCCCACCAAGGCGAUGAUAGGUAGCCGGCCUGAGAGGGUGGACGGCCACAAGGGGACUGAGAUACGGCCCUUACUCCUACGGGAGGCAGCAGUGGGGAAUAUUGGACAAUGGGGGCAACCCUGAUCCAGCAAUUCUGUGUGCACGAUGAAGGUUUUCGGAUUGUAAAGUGCUUUCAGCAGGGAAGAAAAAAAUGACGGUACCUGCAGAAGAAGCGACGGCUAAAUACGUG